AACGAACGCUGGCGGCGUGGAUAAGACAUGCAAGUCGAACGGGACUAAAUCUGUAGCAAUACAGGUUUAGUUUAGUGGCGAACGGGUGCGUAACACGUGGGCAAUCUGCCGAGAAGUGGGGGAUAGCUCGCCGAAAGGCGAAUUAAUACCGCAUAUGAUCAGUGAAGACAUCUUCACGACAUCAAAGCCGGGGCAACCUGGCGCUUCUUGAUGAGCCCGCGGCCUAUCAGCUAGUUGGUGAGGUAACGGCUCACCAAGGCUAUGACGGGUAGCUGGUCUGAGAGGACGACCAGUCACACUGGAACUGAGACACGGUCCAGACACCGUACGGGUGGCAGCAGUCGAGUAAUUUUUCUC
rnacentral:rRNA from 1 species